CAGCCGCCGCGGUAAUACGGAGGGUGCAAGCGUUACUCGGAAUCACUGGGCGUAAAGGACGCGUAGGCGGAUUAUCAAGUCUCUUGUGAAAUCUAACGGCUUAACCGUUAAACUGCUUGGGAAACUGAUAAUCUAGAGUAAGGGAGAGGCAGAUGGAGUUCUUGGUGUAGGGGUAAAAUCCGUAGAGAUCAAGAAGAAUACCCAUUGCGAAAGCGAUCUGCUGGAACUUAACUGACGCUAAUGCGUGAAAGCGUGGGGGGCAAACAGGAUUAGAUACCCCCGUAGUCCCUGUCUCUUAUAC
rnacentral:rRNA from 1 species